CAGGAGUCGAGCCUCGCACUGAUGUCAACAUUUAGGUGUCGGUGUAACACAGAUAUUGGUCCUUGUCCAAUAGGACACAGGAGUCGAGCCUCGCACCGAUGUCAACAUUUAGGUGUCGGUGUAACACAGAUAUUGGUCCUUGUCCAAUAGGACACAGGAGUCGAGCCUCGCACUGAUGUCAACAUUUAGGUGUCGGUGUAACACAGAUAUUGGUCCUUGUCCAAUAGGACACAGGAGUCGAGCCUCGCACUGAUGUCAACAUUUAGGUGUCGGUGUAACACAGAUAUUGGUCCUUGUCCAAUAGGACACAGGAGUCGAGCCUCGCACCGAUGUCAACAUUUAGGUGUCGGUGUAACAAAGAUAUUGGUCCUUGUCCAAUAGGACACAGGAGUCGAGCCUCGCACCGAUGUCAACAUUUAGGUGUCGGUGUAACACAGAUAUUGGUCCUUGUCCAAUAGGACACAGGAGUCGAGCCUCGCACCGAUGUCAACAUUUAGGUGUCGGUGUAACAAAGAUAUUGGUCCUUGUCCAAUAGGACACAGGAGUCGAGCCUCGCACCGAUGUCAACAUUUAGGUGUCGGUGUAACACAGAUAUUGAUCCUUGUCCAGGAGGAACACAGGAGUCGAGCCUCACACAAACGUUAACAUUUAGGUGUCGGUGUAACACAGAUAUUGAUCCUUGUCCAGGAGGAACA